CGGGGUGCAGCAGGCGCGAAAACUUUACAAUGCCGGCAACGGCGAUAAGGGAACCUCGAGUGCCAGGUUACAAAUCUGGCUGUCGUGAUGCCUAAAAAGCAUUGCAUAGCAAGGGCCGGGCAAGACCGGUGCCAGCCGCCGCGGUAACACCGGCGGCUCGAGUGGUAACCGUUAUUAUUGGGUCUAAAGGGUCUGUAGCCGGCCGGAUAAGUCUCUUGGGAAAUCUGGCAGCUUAACUGUCAGGCUUUCAGGAGAUACUGUCUGGCUCGAGGCCGGGAGAGGUGAAAGGUACUUCAGGGGUAGGGGUGAAAUCUUGUAAUCCUUGAAGGACCACCAGUGGCGAAGGCGUCUCACCAGAACGGACCUGACGGCAAGGGACGAAAGCUAGGGGCACGAACCGGAUUAGAUACCCGGGUAGUCCUAGCCGUAAACGAUACUCGCUAGGUGUCGGCCACGGUGCGACCGUGGUCGGUGCCGUAGGGAAGCCGUGAAGCGAGCCACCUGGGAAGUACGGCCGCAAGGCUGAAACUUAAAGGAAUUGGCGGGGGAGCAC
rnacentral:rRNA from 1 species